UUAAGCGACUAAGCGUACACGGUGGAUGCCCUGGCAGUCAGAGGCGAUGAAGGGCGUGCUAAUCUGCGAUAAGCGCCGGUAAGGUGAUAUGAACCGUUAUAACCGGCGAUACCCGAAUGGGGAAACCCAGUGUGACUCGUCACACUAUCAUUAACUGAAUCCAUAGGUUAAUGAGGCGAACCGGGGGAACUGAAACAUCUAAGUACCCCGAGGAAAAGAAAUCAACCGAGAUUCCCCCAGUAGCGGCGAGCGAACGGGGAGGAGCCCAGAGCCUGAAUCAGCAUGUGUGUUAGUGGAAGCGUCUGGAAAGGCGCGCGAUACAGGGUGACAGCCCCGUACACAAAAGCGCAUGUGCUGUGAGCUCGAUGAGUAGGGCGGGACACGUGGUAUCCUGUCUGAAUAUGGGGGGACCAUCCUCCAAGGCUAAAUACUCCUGACUGACCGAUAGUGAACCAGUACCGUGAGGGAAAGGCGAAAAGAACCCCGGCGAGGGGAGUGAAAAAGAACCUGAAACCGUGUACGUACAAGCAGUGGGAGCNNGUGACUGCGUACCUUUUGUAUAAUGGGUCAGCGACUUAUAUUCUGUAGCAAGGUUAACCGAAUAGGGGAGCCGGAGGGAAACCGAGUCUUAAUUGGGCGUUAAGUUGCAGGGUAUAGACCCGAAACCCGGUGAUCUAGCCAUGGGCAGGUUGAAGGUUGGGUAACACUAACUGGAGGACCGAACCGACUAAUGUUGAAAAAUUAGCGGAUGACCUGUGGCUGGGGGUGAAAGGCCAAUCAAACCGGGAGAUAGCUGGUUCUCCCCGAAAGCUAUUUAGGUAGCGCCUCGUGAAUUCAUCUCCGGGGGUAGAGCACUGUUUCGGCUAGGGGGCCAUCCCGGCUUACCAACCCGAUGCAAACUGCGAAUACCGGAGAAUGUUAUCACGGGAGACACACGGCGGGUGCUAACGUCCGUCGUGAAGAGGGAAACAACCCAGACCGCCAGCUAAGGUCCCAAAGUCAUGGUUAAGUGGGAAACGAUGUGGGAAGGCCCAGACAGCCAGGAUGUUGGCUUAGAAGCAGCCAUCAUUUAAAGAAAGCGUAAUAGCUCACUGGUCGAGUCGGCCUGCGCGGAAGAUGUAACGGGGCUAAACCAUGCACCGAAGCUGCGGCAGCGANNGUUGGGUAGGGGAGCGUUCUGUAAGCCUGCGAAGGUGGCCUGUGAGGGUUGCUGGAGGUAUCAGAAGUGCGAAUGCUGACAUAAGUAACGAUAAAGCGGGUGAAAAGCCCGCUCGCCGGAAGACCAAGGGUUCCUGUCCAACGUUAAUCGGGGCAGGGUGAGUCGACCCCUAAGGCGAGGCCGAAAGGCGUAGUCGAUGGGAAACGGGUUAAUAUUCCCGUACUUGGUGUUACUGCGAAGGGGGGACGGAGAAGGCUAUGUUGGCCGGGCGACGGUUGUCCCGGUUUAAGCGUGUAGGUGUGUGUUCCAGGUAAAUCCGGUUCACUUUAACACUGAGGCGUGAUGACGAGGCACUACGGUGCUGAAGCAACAAAUGCCCUGCUUCCAGGAAAAGCCUCUAAGCAUCAGGUAACAUCAAAUCGUACCCCAAACCGACACAGGUGGUCAGGUAGAGAAUACCAAGGCGCUUGAGAGAACUCGGGUGAAGGAACUAGGCAAAAUGGUGCCGUAACUUCGGGAGAAGGCACGCUGACAUGUAGGUGAAGUGAUUUACUCAUGGAGCUGAAGUCAGUCGAAGAUACCAGCUGGCUGCAACUGUUUAUUAAAAACACAGCACUGUGCAAACACGAAAGUGGACGUAUACGGUGUGACGCCUGCCCGGUGCCGGAAGGUUAAUUGAUGGGGUCAGCGCAAGCGAAGCUCCUGAUCGAAGCCCCGGUAAACGGCGGCCGUAACUAUAACGGUCCUAAGGUAGCGAAAUUCCUUGUCGGGUAAGUUCCGACCUGCACGAAUGGCGUAAUGAUGGCCAGGCUGUCUCCACCCGAGACUCAGUGAAAUUGAACUCGCUGUGAAGAUGCAGUGUACCCGCGGCAAGACGGAAAGACCCCGUGAACCUUUACUAUAGCUUGACACUGAACAUUGAGCCUUGAUGUGUAGGAUAGGUGGGAGGCUUUGAAGCGUGGACGCCAGUCUGCGUGGAGCCGACCUUGAAAUACCACCCUUUAAUGUUUGAUGUUCUAACGUGGACCCGUAAUCCGGGUUGCGGACAGUGUCUGGUGGGUAGUUUGACUGGGGCGGUCUCCUCCUAAAGAGUAACGGAGGAGCACGAAGGUUGGCUAAUCCUGGUCGGACAUCAGGAGGUUAGUGCAAUGGCAUAAGCCAGCUUGACUGCGAGCGUGACGGCGCGAGCAGGUGCGAAAGCAGGUCAUAGUGAUCCGGUGGUUCUGAAUGGAAGGGCCAUCGCUCAACGGAUAAAAGGUACUCCGGGGAUAACAGGCUGAUACCGCCCAAGAGUUCAUAUCGACGGCGGUGUUUGGCACCUCGAUGUCGGCUCAUCACAUCCUGGGGCUGAAGUAGGUCCCAAGGGUAUGGCUGUUCGCCAUUUAAAGUGGUACGCGAGCUGGGUUUAGAACGUCGUGAGACAGUUCGGUCCCUAUCUGCCGUGGGCGCUGGAGAACUGAGGGGGGCUGCUCCUAGUACGAGAGGACCGGAGUGGACGCAUCACUGGUGUUCGGGUUGUCAUGCCAAUGGCACUGCCCGGUAGCUAAAUGCGGAAGAGAUAAGUGCUGAAAGCAUCUAAGCACGAAACUUGCCCCGAGAUGAGUUCUCCCUGAGACUUAGAGUCUCCUGAAGGAACGUUGAAGACGACGACGUUGAUAGGCCGGGUGUGUAAGCGCAGCGA
rnacentral:rRNA from 1 species